UGAUCUCUCAUUCAGGGAACCUACAAGUGUUGUUCUUUACCCACAAUCUCAAGAGGGUUUACGCUGGAAACAUUAGAUACAUUGAAAUGCAUACCAACACCCAUGUUAUGAAAUGGUAUUGAUAUCCUGCUCCUCAGACUGUCUGGGAAGGAUGGACUGGACAACAGAGUGCAACCAAUUCCACUUCCCAGAUCUGAAAUGAGCAUAAAAGAAGUACUUUUGGUACUGCUGGUAAAGUUGUUGAUGAGCUCAGAGUGGUGGAUGUUUCUAUCAUUAACCUGCAUGUCUGUGAGGAGAAAAGGCGUCGUCUUCCUGCCAAUGUUUUCUGUGCAGGUGGAUAAGGCAACAAAGGAUUCUAUUGGCUAGUGGAGACCAGCAGGUGUUGGCCCUUCAACCACAGAGAUCUCUUCUUAAGUUAAUUUGAGAUCAGCACCCUUCACUUCGCCACUGACAGUCCAUGGUUCAGCUCUGCUCAGAUACAGUCUGCCUUUGUAAC